rnacentral:tRNA from 9 species
AGGGCUAUAGCUCAGUUAGGUAGAGCACCUCGUUUACACCGAGAAAGUCUA